GUGAGGAAUUUUCCGCAAUGGGCGAAAGCCUGACGGAGCAAUGCCGCGUGAAGGAUGAAGGCCUAUGGGUUGUAAACUUCUUUUCUCAGAAAAGAAUUAUGACGGUAUCUGAGGAAUAAGCAUCGGCUAACUCUGUGCCAGCAGCCGCGGUAAGACAGAGGAUGCAAGCGUUAUCCGGAAUGAUUGGGCGUAAAGCGUCUGUAGGUUGUUUAAAAAGUAUUCUGUCAAAGAUUAGGGCUUAACCCUAGAUAGGCAGAAUAAACUUUUAAGCUAGAGUUUGGUAGAGGCAGAGGGAAUUCCCGGUGGAGCGGUGAAAUGCGUAGAUAUCGGGAGGAACACCAAAGGCGAAGGCACUCUGCUGGGCCAAUACUAACACUGAGAGACGAAAGCGAGGGGAGCAAAUGGGAUUAGAAACUCCAGUAGUCC
rnacentral:rRNA from 1 species